CACAUUAUUCAUACACAACAGAAGUUCACUCAGUCUCAGUGCUUUCAUUCAACCAUCAGCUACUCUCAUAUUUUCAUUUAUUUUAUAAAACCACAUUCAGCAGAAUUUGGAGUUAAUAUAUCGUGGACUUCAGUUAAGAUGGAGGAGAGGCAGAUGAUACUCAUAAUGUUCAUCACAGUUUCAGGCAUUUAUGCUGAUAGAAUUGGACCAAGAGAAGGAGACACUAAUAUAAUCAGAGAAGAAGGAGAGUCUGUGACACUGAGCUGCACAUAUGAAACAAACAGCAAUGAUAUUUGGCUCUACUGGUACAGACAAUAUCCAAACAGAGAACCAGAAUAUAUACUGUAUAAAGGCGCUCGAUCACAGAGCAGUGAUGAGAAUAUACCAGAUGGGUUUCAGUCAACUACAUCCCAGACAUCCACUGAACUUACAAUUGUAAAAGCAGCUCUGUCAGAUUCUGCUCUUUAUUACUGUGCACUUCAAGUAGCCCAGUGGUACAAAAUACCAGAGAAGCUUUACAAAAACUUACAUGAAAUUAAUGCUUUGAAGAGUCUUUAAUCAAUCAGUAUCAAAACACAUCAUGUUUUUAUAAACCACAAACAGUGAAUGUG